rnacentral:rRNA from 1 species
UACGUAGGGGCCGAGCGUUGUCCGGAGUUACUGGGCGUAAAGCGCGCGCAGGCGGCUCGUCAAGCCUGACGUGAAAGCCCCCGGCUCAACCGGGGAGGGUCGUCGGGGACUGGCGGGCUUGAGGUCGGCAGGGGCUGGUGGAAUUCCCAGUGUAGUGGUGAAAUGCGUAGAGAUCGGGAGGAACACCCGUGGCGAAGGCGGCCAGCUGGGCCGGACCUGACGCUGAGGCGCGAAGGCGUGGGGAGCGAACGGG